rnacentral:rRNA from 1 species
GGCUUGGUAAUUGGAAUGAGGGAGAGUUAAACGGACCAUCGAGUAUCCAUUGGAGGGCAAGUCUGGUGCCAGCAGCUGCGGUAAUACCAGCUCCAAUAGCGUAUAUUAAAGUUGUUGCAGUUAAAAAGCUCGUAGUUGGACUUGUGUGCGCUGUCCGCGGGUGGCCUGCGCCCAAAAGGGCGUUUUCGGUUCGGCCCCGGUGGCGCCUUGAAAUCUGCAGCUGGGGGGACGUUGGCCUUAACUGGUCGGCGACCGCACGCCGGCUGCUCGGUUACUGUGAGAAAAUUAGAGUGUUCAAGGCAGGCAUUGGGUGCAAUUGAAUACAUUAGCAUGGAAUAAUAAAAUAUGGCUCCUGCCGUAUUUUGUUGGUUUUGACUGGUGGGAGAAAUGAUUGAUAGGGACGGUUGGGGGUGCUAGUAUUGAGCGGCCAGAGGUGAAAUUCAUGGAUUCGCUCAAGACUAACUUAUGCGAAAGCAUUCACCAAGGACGUCCUCUUUAAUCAAGAACGAAAGUUGGGGGAUCGAAGACGAUCAGAUACCGUCGUAGUCUCAACCAUAAACUAUGUCGACUUGUGAUCGGCGGUAGUUUUUUCAUUAAGACACUGUCGGGACCACGGGAGAAAUCAAAGUGUCUGGACUCUGGGGGAAGUAUGGUCGCAAGGCUGAAACUUGAAGGAAUUGACGGAAGGGCACCACCAGGAGUGGAGCCUGCGGCUUAAUUUGACACAACACGGGGAAACUUACCAGGUCCAGAGAUGUAGAGGAUUGACAGAUUGAAGCUCUUUCUUGAUCACUUCGGUGGUGGUGCAUGGCCGUUCUUAGUUGGUGGAGUGAUUUGUCUGGUUAAUUCCGUUAACGAACGAGACCUCAGCCUGCUAGUGUAGUCGGCUGGAUUGCCUUUGGCGAUCCGUGAUUUCGACUUCUUAGAGGGACAAUCGACGCGCAGUCGAUGGAAGUUUGAGGCAAUAACAGGUCUGUGAUGCCCUUAGAUGUUCUGGGCCGUACGCGCGCUACACUGCUGGGCUCAGCGAGUUUUACUUGGCCGAGAGGCCCGGUUAAUCUUGUGAAAUCCCAGCGUGCUUGGGCUCGCCUCCUGCAACUGGAGGCGCCAACGAGGAAUUCCUAGUAGACGCAGGUCAUCAACCUGCAUCGAUUACGUCCCUGCCCUUUGUACACACCGCCCGUCGUUCCAUAAGAGUGAGGCAUCCGGUGAAUUCUCGGGAGAGCCUGGGCGUGGCCAGCAAUGGUCUGCUCGGGUUUGAACUUGCAUAAACUUGGUGCCUAUGAUUAGGG